rnacentral:rRNA from 1 species
UACGUAGGGGGCAAGCGUUAUCCGGAAUUAUUGGGCGUAAAGAGCUCGUAGGCGGUUUGUCGCGUCUGCUGUGAAAACUGGAGGCUCAACCUCCAGCCUGCAGUGGGUACGGGCAGACUAGAGUGGCGGUAGGGGAGAUUGGAAUUCCGUGGUGUAGCGGUGGAAUGCGCAGAUAUCAGGAGGAACACCGAUGGCGAAAGGCCAG